CAGCUGAUCUUUCUGUCAAAUAACUUAAUGAAACCCUGAAAUACAAUAAAUAUUUUCAGGUCCUUGAAGUACACACGGGUGGGGGCUGGAAACCCACUCCACCUGUCACAGUCUGAAGACAGAAUGUGGUUUCUGUUCAGUGUGUGAGGAUCAGUAUGAUGUAUAAUAAUGUGAGUAAACUUCAGCAGGUUCAUGUCUGUGAUGUAGAGAACAGGAACAAGCAGAGGUGCCCUGGAUGUUUGAUCUGUGCUCUGAUAAUUCAGCGUAUCACCAUGUGGGACAGGAGACUGGCCAGUACAAGUUACAGCCUGUCAGAGUGUCGCUCACAUUUACUGACAAACAACAGAUGCAUCUGUUACUGAACUAAAUGAUGAAACCAGCCAACAGUAAAUCAGGUGCUUCACACUAACUCCACAUGACAUUCAUCUGUAACCAGCUGAACCAGUUAGUGGUAACAGUAACUGGUUAUUCCACUAACGCUCACAGAUUUCAGUCAACCUGUCAGAUUAACUAAAAGACUGAAAGAUGUCAUUUUAAACUGUUACUGUUGUUCUGAAGGAUCCCUGACACAGUCUUCUGAUCAUCAGGAUGGAGAAAUUAUCCACUUGAAGCAACAAACCCUCGACACACCUGUGUGAUAUCAUAGCAACAUUUUAGAAACCACAUUCCUGUCUUCUGUAGCUUCAUACAUACAUAUUUCCAAUCCAACUUUAUUUGUAGAUUACUUUAAAAACAAAAUGGUUUACCAAAGUGCUUUCUAGAGUAUUUCACAACAGAUAAAUUUACAAAGUAACAGAAAGUCAACAUGUUUGAGUUAAACAGAUAGAUAUGUAGAGACAAUCUCUCAACACACUCUGUUUAGUGGGAAGUUGUCUGACUGAGAAUGGAGAUCAACUUGGUCCAAAGAAUUAACUUCAAAGCUCGCAUGUCUCUAAACAUGUUGUAAAAUGUUAUGUACAACGUGUUUAGAUAGGAGUCAAACAAGAAGAGGCGGCUUUUUGUAAUCCUUUACACACAAUACCAACAAAACCAACCUUGAUUGUUCAAAAUAUAUGUUACCUUUAAAAACUAAAAUAAAUAAAUAAAUAAAUAAAAACAAAGCAUUCAUCAUAAAUCCAGCAGGAAUGAUCCCAUACACAUGAAUAAAAAAACCCACUCACACUUACCAUUGAUCCACUCAUUAAAUCAUGAAAUUAUAUGUUAUGAAAUUAUCAUGGCUUAAAACCACUAAUUUGCAAAAACCACAUUAAUAAAUUUUAGACCACUUACUCUAAGUGUCAACAUCUAUAGACUUUUAAAAAGU